AGAUUGGAGAUCGUAGGGGAGACUGCUUGGGAUAAAGAAAUGAAAGCCCAGGACUAAGUUGGUGUUCCCUGAGUGGCUGCAGUUCCCUGCAUGUGCAGGGAGGAGGUCAAUGCUGGAGAAUGGGAGAAAGGUCUCUGCUGGUUGCUGUGUCCCAGCCUUGGUGGGCAGAGAACUCUGACCUUGGCCAGAUGGGUUGGACAGGAAGAACCACUGAACUUGUCUCAUCCUUGCCAAGAGCUUUGUUGUUUGAGCAGCCAAACCCAGCCUGGUCCUGCCCAUGGUGUGGGUCUGUCACAGGUUCCUCUUCUCCUCUCUGCUGUGAUG